rnacentral:rRNA from 1 species
UACGUAGGGUGCAAGCGUUGUCCGGAAUUAUUGGGCGUAAAGAGCUCGUAGGCGGUCUGUCGCGUCUGCUGUGAAAACUCAGGGCUUAACCCUGAGCUUGCAGUGGGUACGGGCAGACUAGAGUGCGGUAGGGGAGACUGGAAUUCCUGGUGUAGCGGUGAAAUGCGUGGAUAUCUGGAGGAACACCGGUGGCGAAGGCGGCAUCCUGGACCGACACUGACACUGAGGAGCGAAAGCCAGGGGAGCAAACGGG